rfam:Chaetura pelagica isolate M959 contig5698, whole genome shotgun sequence.
CCAACGGCUCUUUUAAGAGCCACCCACUUGCUUUUAAAAGGGCUG